GUAAUCAAAAAGUGAUGACUAGGAACCUAGAAAGAUUAAUUCCUAAACUUUCAUUGUGAAAUGAAAUCUGUAGAACCCAAAUUUCAAUAGAUCCAAAAUACUAUCUACUGUCAAAUACAACUUAAAUGUCGCAUUAGUUCCAGGCCUUCUUUGGUGACUGACACUAAAGUCUUCCCCUCAAAUUCCUUCAGCUGUUGGACACAGUACUCAUCAAUGGGCUCAAUCAUAUAGAUCACU
rnacentral:lncRNA from 1 species